AACGGUCAUACCAUGCUGAAUAUACCGGCUCUCGUUAGAUCACCGAAGUCAAGCAUCAUUGGGCGCGGUCAGUACAUGGGUGGGUGACCACUUGGGAACACUGCGUGCCGUU
rnacentral:rRNA from 1 species